rnacentral:rRNA from 1 species
AUCGAUGAAGAACGCAGCGAAAUGCGAUAAUUAAUGUGAAUUGCAGAAUUCAGUGAAUCAUCGAAUCUUUGAACGCACAUUGCGCCUCCUGGUAUUCCGGGAGGCACGCCUGUCCGAGCGCCAUUACACCCCCCAAGCCUUGCUUGAUGUUGGGCCAUGACGCGCUGUCAAGCCCCAAACCUUUAGGCGCCCCCCACUGGCCGCGAGCGUAGCAAGAAUUUUUUCCCUCGCUUCGCGUGUCCGAUGGGUGGGUCGCCGAUUGACCCCCUAAAUUUUACAAGGUUUGGCCUCGGAUCAGGCGGGGAUACCCGCUGAACUUAAGCAUAUCAAUAAGCGGAGGAAAAGAAACCAACAGGGAUUGCCCCAGUAACGGCGAGUGAAGCGGCAUCAGCUCAAAUUUGAAAUCUGGCGUCUUCGGCGUCCGAGUUGUAAUUUGUAGAGAGUGUCUCGGGUGGAGCACCGGUCCAAGUCCCUUGGAACAGGAUAUCAUAGAGGGUGAGAAUCCCGUAUCCGGCCGGUCCCCUCCCCCGCUGUGAGGCCUCUUCGACGAGUCGAGUUGUUUGGGAAUGCAGCUCUAAAUUGGAGGUAAAUUCCUUCUAAAGCUAAAUACUGGCCAGAGACCGAUAGCGCACAAGUAGAGUGAUCGAAAGAUGAAAAGCACUUUGAAAAGAGAGUCAAACAGUACGUGAAAUUGUUGAAAGGGAAGCGUAUGCGGCCAGACUUGUCCCCAGUUGCUCAGCCCGUCUUUUGGCGGGUGUACUCUUCUGGGGCCAGGCCAGCAUCGGUUUGGGCGGUCGGAUAAAGACGUUAGGAAUGUGGCCCCCCUCGGGGGGUGUUAUAGCCUGGCGUGCAAUGCGAUCAGCCCGGACCGAGGCCCGCGUUCUGCUAGGAUGCUGGCGUAAUGGCCGUAUACGGCCCGUCUUGAAACACGG